UGUGAUGGCGUCUUGGAAAAUGCGGGGAAGGUUGUAUUUAUUGAGUAUUUUAACGUGUAUUACUUUAGUACACUGUAGAAGUUUGUCUCAGUUUUCUGGAACGGAAAAAACAAACGAUGGACGUGGUGAUGCUGGAGUCUUGGGCCUGUGGAACAAAAUGUUCAUGAAAGGGCAACUACUCAGUUCCUCUAAAGCAGCCUGGGAUGCCAUGUCUCCGAAGUUAAGGUGUGGUGACGAUCUCAUGAGUUUACAACUUGGUGGUCCAGACGUGGCAAACGUUGAACUUUGUCAAGGCAAUGGGGUGCCUGUUCCCCUCACUCAUCUGCCACCUGACUGUGGUCACACCACACUCACUAACAGAGGUCUUGUCUAUGCUACUCCCUAUGAUGGAUGUGGUGUUGCG